ACAAUCUUAAAGUGCUGUAUCCAGAUGACUACGCCUCACACAGCAGCGGUGGGCUGAUGAAACAGUCUUGCGGGUGUUUGAAAGUUCACAGCAGUGGUUCUUCAUGAAAAACGAUGAAGCUCAAGCCCAUCUGUCUCUAUGGAAGUUAUUACCCAUAAUGCCUCUGUCCCUCAGAGCGGGAGCCGCUGACAGAGACGGAGGAAAGAGCAUUUUUCUCUCUCCACUUCCUGAAAAUGUCAUCAUCAAUCCAUCAAAGCCAGUCUAUGAUUGACAGCUUCAUCGACCAAUGAGAGACGCGUCUGCUUUCUUCCCCUGCGGCAUCGCUGUGAAUCAAUAAACCCUCUGACCCCGGAGCCCAAGGAAUCAUCCGUCUGACCCUGUUCAAAUCUACUGGACAGAGAGAAAGAAGCAGACUGAAAGAGAGAUGUAUGAAGUGAAGCAGCAGCCGCCUCAGGCUCUUCAGAGAAACACUGACCUACAUCAACAUCUGCAGGAAAUCUGAUACAU